GCUCCGGUAGUUUAGUGGCUAAAACACGACCCUGUCGCGGUUGAGUCCCGGGUUCGAUUCCCGGUCGGGGCG
rnacentral:tRNA from 1 species